rnacentral:rRNA from 1 species
UCUACGGGGGGCUGCAGUGGGGAAUAUUGGACAAUGGGGGCAACCCUGAUCCAGCCAUGCCGCGUGUGUGAAGAAGGCCCUCGGGUUGUAAAGCACUUUCAGUGAGGAAGAACGCCUGGUGGUUAAUACCCAUCAGGAAAGACAUCACUCACAGAAGAAGCACCGGCUAACUCCGUGCCAGCAGCCGCGGUAAUACGGAGGGUGCGAGCGUUAAUCGGAAUUACUGGGCGUAAAGCGCGCGUAGGUGGCUUGAUAAGCCGGUUGUGAAAGCCCCGGGCUCAACCUGGGAACGGCAUCCGGAACUGUCAAGCUAGAGUGCAGGAGAGGAAGGUAGAAUUCCCGGUGUAGCGGUGAAAUGCGUAGAGAUCGGGAGGAAUACCAGUGGCGAAGGCGGCCUUCUGGACUGACACUGACACUGAGGUGCGAAAGCGUGGGUAGCAAACAGGAUUAGAUACCCUGGUAGUC